CUCAUCUGGAGAUCCCUCCUUCUGGUGUUUUGUAGUGAGCCCAGCAUAAGGAUCUCGGAAAUCUUUCCUCAUGCAAGGAGCAGAAACAUUCACUAGCCUGUUACAGUCAAUGUGAAAGCCAGAAGCAGAAUGGAGACAACCUGGUUCUCUCCUCUGAGACAGAAGAACACAUUUCUCUGCACUUUUCACUGUCCUUACCUUGGCUGCUUUGGAUUCUCUAAACUUUGGAUUUGAAAAGGAUAGUAGUUCUCAGAAAGGAAGAAGUACAGAAGUGAAUUUAUUAGCAUUCUUCAGACUUCUGUUGAAUGGGAAUGUAACAGAGAAAGAAAAAAAGAAUAUAUAAAGUAGCAAUAUCAUCAGGAAUAUUUUUAUAUACUGAAUAUAUAUAAAGUUUCUGCUAAUAAAAUGUUGACAACAGAAUACUGAAAGGAUAUAACAACAAGAAAUCUGAGACAAAAUUUUAGAUAACACUUGGGAGUAAUU